rnacentral:rRNA from 1 species
CUACGGGCGGCUACAGUGGGGAAUAUUGCACAAUGGGGGAAACCCUGAUGCAGCAACGCCGCGUGGAGGAUGACACAUUUCGGUGCGUAAACUCCUUUUAUAUAAGAAGAUAAUGACGGUAUUAUAUGAAUAAGCUCCGGCUAACUCCGUGCCAGCAGCCGCGGUAAUACGGGGGGAGCAAGCGUUACUCGGAAUCACUGGGCGUAAAGAGCAUGUAGGCGGGUAAAAAAGCUGGAAGUGAAAUCCACUGGCUUAACCAGUGAACUGCUUCCAAAACUCUUUACCUAGAAUAUGGGAGAGGUAGAUGGAAUUUCUGGUGUAGGAGUAAAAUCCGUAGAGAUCAGAAGGAAUACCGAUUGCGAAGGCGAUCUACUGGAACAUUAUUGACGCUGAGAUGCGAAAGCGUGGGGAGCAAACAGGAUUAGAUACCCGAGUAGUC